rnacentral:rRNA from 1 species
UACAGAGGUCCCAAGCGUUGUUCGGAUUCACUGGGCGUAAAGGGUGCGUAGGCGGUCGGGUAAGUCUGGCGUGAAAUCUCCAAGCCUAACUUGGAAACUGCGUUGGAUACUAUCCGGCUCGAGGAAUGGAGGGGAGACUGGAAUACUUGGUGUAGCAGUGAAAUGCGUAGAUAUCAAGUGGAACACCAGUGGCGAAGGCGGCGAUCUGGGUCGAUACUGACGCUGAGGUGCGAAAGCGUGGGGAGCAAACAGG